CAGUGCCUUAUUUGAGGUCUGUGCAGUCUCAUUAAAUUUGAUGUGUCACAGAGGGCUUGGACAUGUGAAAAAGGAGGCUGCAGGAACCAGGAUUGAAGUUUGCCAGAUUUGCUAAGGAAAAAUGAUUCAUUAUGGCUUUGCAAAAUGGACACCCUUCAGGCUCGCUGAUGGUAGACUCUCAAGACAUCACCUCCAGCUCAGAAUAUUCCGUGAUCCAGGAAUAAAAGUGGCUCAAUCCUGCAGGAAACAUCUCAGGCAUCUCCCCUGUGCUUUUCUGGUGACCCAGGAUUGAGGAGUGCUCAUUGUGACCCCCUUGCCCUGCAAGAGCCCCCAGCCCCCAAAGGGCAGGAUCUGUGCCCAGUUUGUGCUUUAUGGGCAGAGGAAUUCCCUGUGUUCUCACAGAAAAAUAUUUCCCUACCAGCAGCG